UGGGGAAUCUUGCACAAUGGGGGCAACCCUGAUGCAGCGACGCCGCGUGAGCGAUGAAGCCCUUCGGGGCGUAAAGCUCUUUCGACCGGAACGAUAAUGACGGUACCGGGAGAAGAAGCUGCGGCUAACUACGUGCCAGCAGCCGCGGUAAUACGUAGGCAGCAAGCGUUGUUCGGAGUUACUGGGCGUAAAGAGUGCGUAGGCGGUUUUCUAAGUUCGGUGUGAAAUCUCCCGGCUUAACUGGGAGGGUGCGCCGAAGACUGGGAAGCUGGAGUGUGGGAGAGGCAGGCGGAGUUCCUGGUGUAGCGGUGAAAUGCGUAGAUAUCAGGAGGAACACCGGCGGUGUAGACGGCUUGCUAGACCAUAACUGACGCUGAGGCACGAAAGCGUGGGUAGCAAACA
rnacentral:rRNA from 1 species